AUGGAGUCAGAGUUGGCGCGGGCGGUCGUCGUGUCUGUGGGCGGCUCGCGCCCAAGUCUGGACCUUGCUGAUGCUACUGCGGUGCUCCAUGUGGAUUUCGGCUGUGGGCCGAUGGAUAUGUCCAUCCACGCGUUCUUCCUGGAAGAUUUCCUGGUCCUUUGCAGGACGGUGGAGCUCAAGGACCGUAUGGUGGAUCGAGGUCUGGCCAUGGCCGGGGAGACUCCGCUCAUGCUCGCGCCCUGGCUCUGCCAGUCAUGGGAUGUUGGCAUUGCCAUGCCAUAUCUGGUGCAGCACGCGCUGGUUGGCAUCCCGGCGAAUGCGUGGUCUCGGCGGGCAACACAUGAAGUUUUGCGGGGCAUCGGUUUGGUUGUCAAGGUCGCGGAUUGCACGACCAGGUGGAGCGACAUGUCCAGCUUCAGGGUUUGGCUGCGGACGGACGAUCCUAACCGGAUUCCUCCUCAGCGCAUCCUGGUGGUGGAGGAGCCGCGUCGGCAGCAGGCGCCUGGCCGGGAGGAUGCGGUGGAUGCCUUCUGGUAUCCGGUGGAGAUCAUCAAGGAGUCCCCGUUGGUCCGGCCAUCGUGGGGAUCUGCCCCCCACCUCCCCCCCGGUCACCACCGCCGCCGCCAGACUCUGACGAGGAUGUGGAUGGUCGCGGUGGUGGGGAUGGAACGUGGCCCGGCAAUGGAGGGGCGCGCGUUGCUCCGACGCCGCCUUCAGAUGGCCAGACGGGCUCGGUGCAGGAGUCAUCUGCAUCAGCGGUGA
rnacentral:rRNA from 1 species